AUUUGGUUUAAAUAAUGCAAAAACAAAGUGUUGGAGAAGAAAGUAAAAGUGCAAUAUGUGCCAUGUAAAAAAGCUGACGUUUCAGUUCCUUGCUCAGAACAUGAGAACAUAUGAAAUCUGGUGAUUCCUUUUAACAUGAGUCUUCAAUAUUCCCAGGUAAGAAGUUUUAGGUUGAGGUUAUUAUAGGAAUUAUAGGACUAUUUCUCUCUAUGCCAUUUGUAUUUCAUAUACCUUUGACUAUUGGAUGUUCUUAUAGGCAAUAUAGUAUUGCCAGUGUAACAGUAUAGCUUCCGUCCCUCUCCUCGCCCCUACCUGGGCUCGAACCAGGGACACAUCGACAACAGCCACCCUCAAAGCAGCGUUACCCAUCGCUCCACAAAAGCUGCAGUCUUGCAGAGCAAGGGGAACAACUACUCCAAGUCUCAGAGCGAGUGACGUCACUGAUGUUCUAAUAGGUGUUCUAAUUGCCACCCUAUUGGAUGUUCUAAUAGGUGUUCUAAUUGCCACCCUAUUGGAUGUUCUAAUAGGUGUUCUAAUUGCCACCCUAUUGGAUGUUCUAAUAGGUGUUCUAAUUGCCACCCUAUUGGAUGUUCUAAUAGGUGUUCUAAUUGCCACCCUAUUGGAUGUUCUAAUAGGUGUUCUAAUUGCCACCCUAUUGGAUGUUCUAAUAGGUGUUCUAAUUGCCACCCUAUUGGAUGUUCUAAUAGGUGUUCUAAUUGCCACCCUAUUGGAUGUUCUAAUAGGUGUUCUAAUUGCCACCCUAUUGGAUGUUCUAAUAGGUGUUCUAAUUGCCACCCUAUUGGAUGUUCUAAUAGGUGUUCUAAUUGCCACCCUAUUGGAUGUUCUAAUAGGUGUUCUAAUUGCCACCCUAUUGGAUGUUCUAAUAGGUGUUCUAAUUGCCACCCUAUUGGAUGUUCUAAUAGGUGUUCUAAUUGCCACCCUAUUGGAUGUUCUAAUAGGUGUUCUAAUUGCCACCCUAUUGGAUGUUCUAAUAGGUGUUCUAAUUGGCAGCAUAAUCUCGGGAGUUGAUAGGCUUGAAGUCAUAAAC